GUACAUUAGUAGUGCUUGCGCACAACAGUAGUUUUCAUUCCAUUCGAGUUGGUGUGUAAAAUCCUCUGCCAGCCGAAGCUAGCAAGAGGCCAAAGGUUCACAUGGGUAUUGGAUGAAAGCCACCAACGUGCACUUGCUCGUAAGAGCCAGCACUGAAGGCAGCGAUUCGCAAUCAUUAAUGAUCCUUCCGCAGGUUCACCUACGGAAA
rnacentral:misc_RNA from 1 species